rnacentral:rRNA from 1 species
AUUGAACGCUGGCGGCAUGCCUAACACAUGCAAGUCGAACGGCAGCACAAAUUAGGCGACUAAUUUGGUGGCGAGUGGCGCACGGGUGAGUAAUACGUAGGAAUAUACCUUAAAGAGGGGGAUAACUUGGGAAACCCAGGCUAAUACCGCAUGAGCUCUAAGGAGGAAAGCUGGGGACCGCGAGGCCUGGCGCUUUAAGCAUAGCUUACGUCCGAUUAGCUAGUUGGUAGGGUAAAAGCCUACCAAGGCGACGAUCGGUAGCUGGUCUGAGAGGAUGAUCAGCCACACUGGGACUGAGACACGGCCCAGACUCCGACGGGAGGCAGCAGUGGGGAAUAUUGGACAAUGGGGGCAACCCUGAUUCAGCGAUGCCGCGUGUGUGAAGAAGGCCUGCGGGUUGUAAAGCACUUUCAGUGGGGAGGAGAGCUAGUUGGUUAAGAGCUGACGAGUGAGACGUUACCCACAGCAGAAGCACCGGCUAACUCCGUGCCAGCAGCCGCAGUAACAC